GCUGGCGGCAGGCUUAACACAUGCAAGUCGAGCGGGCGUAGCAAUACGUCAGCGGCAGACGGGUGAGUAACGCGUGGGAACGUACCUUUUGGUUCGGAACAACCCAGGGAAACUUGGGCUAAUACCGAAUAAGCCCUUACGGGGAAAGAUUUAUCGCCGAAAGAUCGGCCCGCGUCUGAUUAGCUAGUUGGUGAGGUAACGGCUCACCAAGGCGACGAUCAGUAGCUGGUCUGAGAGGAUGAUCAGCCACAUUGGGACUGAGACACGGCCCAAACUCCUACGGGAGGCAGCAGUGGGGAAUAUUGGACAAUGGGCGCAAGCCUGAUCCAGCCAUGCCGCGUGAGUGAUGAAGGCCCUAGGGUUGUAAAGCUCUUUUGUGCGGGAAGAUAAUGACGGUACCGCAAGAAUAAGCCCCGGCUAACUUCGUGCCAGCAGCCGCGGUAAUACGAAGGGGGCUAGCGUUGCUCGGAAUCACUGGGCGUAAAGGGUGCGUAGGCGGGUCUUUAAGUCAGGGGUGAAAUCCUGGAGCU
rnacentral:rRNA from 1 species